CUCCCGGCCCGCCCGCCGCCCGCCCGCCGCCGGCUAUUUAUUGAGCGCGUAGCCGGUGCCAGCGGCCGGGAGACGUACUCCAGCCCGCGGGGAGCACGCCGUCGAAGGCGUGAGCACCGGGCCCGAGGAACUCCCGGAGGAAUCCGGCACACCCACGGCCCCGCCACCCGAUCCGCCCGCCCUCCCUCGCUGCGGGGGACUAACUCCCGCCGCCCCAGGGCGCGAGGUGGGGACGGCCUCCACGGAGGCCCACCGCGGGGCCGCACUUGACCCGCAGGCCCGCCCGCACGGGAACACAAUGGAGCGCACACCAAAGAAAGUCCCCCGAAAUUGAGCCUGGGGUUAGAAGCGGGACGAGGCCGUGAGUGGCAGCCCCAGGGCUGCCGUGUGGGCCAGGAGGGACUAGAUCUGACCUUCACACACUCUCUAACGGGAGUGUGGGGUGAGACCAAAGGUCAAUCCCCCCCCCUCGGCGGGGAGGUGCGGUGGCGGUGGGGAGAAGGCCGACUAGGGGGGCUUCAGCCACACUUCAAAGACCUCACGCGCCGGGAGCGCUUCCGGGGGGGAGGGGCAGGGGGUGAAGGGGGGCUGCUCCCCCUCCAGCGCACACCCCCCCUCCUCCCGUAGACUCUUCCGCCCGGUCCGCCUCCUUUUCACCAGCACCUGUUCAACCGGAACAUCAAGGGGCCGGGCCCGCCGCCCCCCCUCUGCGUCUCUUUAGUACCUUUCAUCCCGGAAAGGGGGGGGAAGUAAAUCUCCGCCCAAGUAGGGGGGGAGUAGGGCGGGGGAGAACUUGUCCUUGACCUGGGCUGUGGCGUCGGGGAUUUACUCCUUAAUCCUGGCGUGGCGGGGGUUUGGGGAGGUUGGGUAAGCUGUGUUCUUGGCCGCAGCCCCCAACUGCCAAGCUUGAACACUACAGCAAUCCAGGAGGGCGGCCGGGAUGCAGAGGCUCCGUCUGAGGGCUGCACAGUGUGAGCGGAGGCGGCUUUUCGUGUUGGAGGAAGGGGUCGAGCUCAGGUCCGAGGUCCCAGGUCCUGGCAAGGACCGCUCUUUUCAUGGUUUUACCAAAAAACGAAACAAAACACCCCUCCCUUGGAGUUGCUAACGAAUUCCCUUUACUACCAAGAAGGAAUACAACCGCUGGACAAGCUCAACAACGUUAGUCCUGACCAAGCGCCAGCUUCAGAAUUGUCUGAGUAUUUGCUUCUGGAACCCACCACUGUGAAAGUCCUGCCGUGUCGGGUUUCGUCCAAGGGAAGGGGGAGGCGCACUUGAAGCGGGGGGGGGGUCCCCUGUGCACGUGUGGGGCAACCUGGAGACGGGCCGGGAAACCUUUGUCUCGGUCAGGCCGGUGCCCAGCGUGCCCCCCACGACGCUCGUGGCCUGGACGGGUGACACGCGUGUAUUUGCCGUCGGAUGAACAUCAUUUUGUGUAGCACUUCCCACCACCGUUUAGGAUGGAUGUUGAUACCCCCCAUCUUAUGGAUAGAACAACUGAGAUCCCUCCCCCACACACACACACCCGGAUUCAAUGACGCGCUCCAAAAGCACCCAGCCCGGAAAUGGAAGAACCAGGAUUUGAACCCGUUGUGUCUCGAACCGGGCUCCGAGAGGGCGGCUCUGAUUUCGCGGUGGGACCCCGAGGCCGAGCUGUCAAGCCUAUUCCCCAGCUUGCUAAAGUUUGUUUUUCGGAGCGCCCAGCGCGAACCGAUCCAAAACAUACAUUAAAAAAAAAAAAGGUGCAAGAUCAAGUCCUGAGCAACAAGUGGUCCAAGUUCCCCAAGCAGUCUGAUUUGAGGGGUUGCGCAGAUCCUGGCUGUGCGACUUUCCACGAACGACUCCGGGUCUCCCACGCCCAGCCAGGCCCCCCCGUACGCGGGACGUUU